GGGCCUAUAGCUCAGCUGGUUAGAGCACACGCCUGAUAAGCGUGAGGUCGGUGGUUCGAGUCCAUUUAGGCCCA
rnacentral:tRNA from 1 species